CCUACGGGAGGCAGCAGUGAGGAAUAUUGGUCAAUGGACGAGAGUCUGAACCAGCCAAGUAGCGUGAAGGAUGACUGCCCUAUGGGUUGUAAACUUCUUUUAUAAAGGAAUAAAACGAGGCACGUGUGCCUUUUUGCAUGUACUUUAUGAAUAAGGAUCGGCUAACUCCGUGCCAGCAGCCGCGGUAAUACGGAGGAUCCGAGCGUUAUCCGGAUUUAUUGGGUUUAAAGGGAGCGUAGAUGGGUUGGUAAGUCAGUUGUGAAAGUUUGCGGCUCAACCGUAAAAUUGCAAUUGAUACUGGCAGUCGUGAGUACAGUUGAGGUAGGCGGAAUUCGUGGUGUAGCGGUGAAAUGCUUAGAUAUCACGAAGAACCCCGAUUGCGAAGGCAGCUUACUAAACUGUGACUGACAUUGAUGCUCGAAAGUGUGGGUAUCAAACAGGAUUAGAUACCCGGGUAGUC
rnacentral:rRNA from 1 species